AUUGAACGCUGGCGGCAGGCCUGACACAUGCAAGUCGAGCGGAUGACGGGAGCUUGCUCCUGGAUUCAGCGGCGGACGGGUGAGUAAUGCCUAGGAAUCUGCCUGGUAGUGGGGGACAACGUUUCGGAAGGAACGCUAAUACCGCAUACGUCCUACGGGAGAAAGCAGGGGACCUUCGGGCCUUGCGCUAUCAGAUGAGCCUAGGUCGGAUUAGCUUGUUGGUGAGGUAAUGGCUAACCAAGGCGACGAUCCGUAACUGGUCUGAGAGGAUGAUCAGUCACACUGGAACUGAGACACGGUCCAGACUCCUACGGGAGGCAGCAGUGGGGAAUAUUGGACAAUGGGCGAAAGCCUGAUCCAGCCAUGCCGCGUGUGUGAAGAAGGUCUUCGGAUUGUAAAGCACUCUAAGUUGGGAGGAAGGGUUGUAGAUUAAUACUCUGCAAUUUUGACGUUACCGACAGAAUAAGCACCGGCUAACUCUGUGCCAGCCGCCGCGGUAAAAC
rnacentral:rRNA from 1 species